UAGAUGAAAUGAGGCAAUUCUUGCCUAG
rnacentral:piRNA from 1 species